UUAACUUAUUUGUGUUUUUACUCAGAGAUGCCACUAUAAUUCAGAAGAGUUUGUGCCCUCCGGCGGGCGCUUCCGCCCCGCGAACGGGGUUUCCGCAGCGGCCCCUCCCAGGGGCCGCCCGCCGAAGCAACGCUGUACGGAUGAGUUCGCGAUGGUUGUAAGGAGUCCUUUCGGAGCUCUGUAAUGAUCCCUCCGCUGGUUCACCAACGGAGA
rnacentral:misc_RNA from 1 species